CAACCUUCUUUUAUUGUGUUACAUCUUAAACACUGCGAUUGUGAAGUGCUGAAAAAUAUGGACUAUAUAUUAUCCUGGACUUUUGUCCUUGUAGUUAGUCUUCAAGGAGUUUGGAGUGAGAUCAAACUGGAGCAGUCUCCUUCUGAGGUGAAGAGACCUGGAGAGAGAGUGAAGAUGUCAUGUAUCAUUUCUGGUUAUAGCUUGACAAGCUACAAUAUUCACUGGAUACAACAGAGGCCGGGCAGAGCUCUGGAGUGGAUCGGUAGAAUGGAUACAGGAAAAAACUCAGCUCUCUAUGGCAGUACUUUCCAAAGCCGUUUCGUCAUAACUGAAGAAGACUCCAGCAGCAGACAGUACCUCGAGAUCAAGAGUUUGACAGCAGAAGAUUCUGCUGCUUACUUCUGUGCCCGAUCACACAGUGACUGA